rnacentral:rRNA from 1 species
GACGUAGGGCGCGAGCGUUGUCCGGAUUUAUUGGGCGUAAAGAGCUCGUAGGCGGCUUGUCGCGUCGACUGUGAAACCCCGCGGCUCAACUGCGGGUCUGCAGUCGAUACGGGCAGGCUAGAGUUCGGUAGGGGAGACUGGAAUUCCUGGUGUAGCGGUGAAAUGCGCAGAUAUCAGGAGGAACACCGGUGGCGAAGGCGGUUCUCUGGGCCGUAACUGACGCUGAGGAGCGAAAGCAUGGGGAGCGAACAGG